rnacentral:rRNA from 1 species
AGAGUUUGAUCAUGGCUCAGAAUCAACGCUGGCGGCGUGCCUCAGGCAUGCAAGUCGAACGCGAAAGUUCCCUUCGGGGAGCGAGUAGAGUGGCGCACGGGUGAGUAACACGUAGGUAAUCUACCUUUGGAUGGGGAAUAACAACCGGAAACGGUUGCUAAUACCGCAUAAUGCAGCGGCACCUAAUGGUGACAGUUGUUAAAGCGGGGGAUCGCAAGACCUCGCGUCUGAAGAGGAGCCUGCGGCAGAUUAGCUAGUUGGUAAGGUAAUGGCUUACCAAGGCGAUGAUCUGUAGCCGGCCUGAGAGGGCGGUCGGCCACACUGACACUGACAUACGGGUCAGACUCCUACGGGAGGCAGCAGUCGGGAAUUUUGGGCAAUGGGCGAAAGCCUGACCCAGCAACGCCGCGUGAAGGAUGAAAUCCUUCGGGAUGUAAACUUCGCAAGAACGGGAAGAAUAAGUGAGAGCUAACAUCUCUUACGAUGACGGUACUGUUUGUAAGCUCCGGCUAACUCCGUGCCAGCAGCCGCGGUAAUUC